UACGUGGGGUGCAAGCGUUGUUCGGAACUACUGGGCGUAAAGCGCGUGUAGGCGGCUGAUUAUGUCAGGUGUGAAAGCCCUCGGCCUAACCGAGGAAGUGCGCCUGAAACUGAUCGGCUUGAGUACGAGAGAGGGGGACGGAAUUCCCAGUGUAGAGGUGAAAUUCGUAGAUAUUGGGAGGGACACCGGUGGCGAAAGCGGUUCCCUGGAUCGAUACUGACGCUAAGACGCGAAAGCGUGGGUAGCAAACAGG
rnacentral:rRNA from 1 species